rnacentral:rRNA from 1 species
UACAGAGGGGGCGAGCGUUGUUCGGAAUUACUGGGCGUAAAGGGCGCGUAGGCGGCCCGCUAAGUCGAACGUGAAAUCCCCAGGCUCAACCUGGGAACUGCGUCCGAUACUGGCAGGCUUGAAUCCGGGAGAGGGAUGUGGAAUUCCAGGUGUAGCGGUGAAAUGCGUAGAUAUCAGGAGGAACACCGGUGGCGAAGGCGGGAUCCUGGGCCAGUACUGACGCUGAGGAGCGAAAGCGUGGGGAGCAAACAGG